CCCUUCGGUUGAUCCUGCCGGAGAUCACCGCUUUUGGGGUUCGAUUAAGCCAUGCGAGUCUUUGGCAGCAAUGCCAAGGCGAACUGCUGAGUAACACGUAGUUAACCUGCCCUUAAGUCAGGGAUAAUCUCGGGAAACUGAGCAUAAUACNUGAUAAGUGAUAAUGCCUGGAACGGUUUAUCACACAAAGCUUAGGCGCUCAAGGAUGGGACUGCGGUAGAUUAGGUUGAUGUUAGGGUAACUGCCUAACAUGCCGAUAAUCUAUAGGGGCUGUGAGAGCAGUAGCCCCCAGAUGGGUUCUGAGACACGAACCCAGGUCCUAAGGGACGCAGCAGGCGCGAAACCUCCGCAAUGCACGCAAGUGUGACGGGGGGACCUCAGGUGCUAGCGCUACAAGCGUUAGCUUUUCGUGAGUUUAAAUUGCUCGCGGAAUAAGUGGUGGGUAAGACCGUUGCCAGCCGCCGCGGUAAUAACGGCACCACAAGUGGUGAUCACGUGUAUUGGGUCUAAAGCAUCCGUAGCCGGAUAAUCAAGUCAUUUGUGAAACUUCACAGAAAACUGUGAAAAGUGCAAGUGAAACUAGUUAUCUUGGGACCGGGAAGGGUUAGAGGUACUUCUAGGGUAGAGGUGGAAUUCUGUAAUCCUAGAGGGACCACCUGUGGCGAAGGCGUCUAACUGGAACGGAUCCGACGGUGAGGGAUGAAAGCUAGGGGAGCAAAGGGGAUUAGAUACCCCCGUAGUCCUAGCUGUAAACGAUGCCCGCUAGGUAUUGUGUGUUUUUCGCGAACAUGCAGUGCCGUAGGGAAGCCAUUAAGCGGGCCACCUGGGAAGUACGGUCGCAAGGCUGAAACUUAAAGGAAUUGGCGGG
rnacentral:rRNA from 1 species